ACGAAAUAAAAACAUAACAGACAUGUGAAGGUUUCUCUUGGUUUAGUUAUUAUGAAAGAGUUUACUUGAAAUGGAAAAAAAACAAAUCUUGUCUCUUUCGUUGAUAUAGCAGCAAUACGACUUUAAAUGGUUAGUGCAUCAACGCUACUUUCAGUUAUAGAAGAAGCAACACGGCUUGGCAUUGUACAGAAGAAAAGUGUAAUUUUCUCAAGAAAAAUAUUGGGGUGUUGCUCACUAUUUUUAUCUCAUCGUUCCGUUUUAUCGUGUUGUUGAAUUUGGAAUUUAUUCAAGGUGAAGUAAUGUGGAAGAAGAGUAUUUCUUGGCAUAUAAGAUCUUGGGAAGCCCGAUACUUAGGUUUGGAUUAGCUUAAGAAGCGGACAAGGUACAGAUAGUCGGUUUGGUGACCCUUCAGCAUAGGACUUCUACUCAGCUGUCUUGGAGAGAUACAUUGUUCCGCAGCCUAGACUUUUGGUACAGAUCUUAUGAUGUAUAUAUAUAUAUAUAUGUUUAUCCAGGGGUAUGGCGGGGCCCUGUCCCAUCAUAUUUCGCUAUCGAUACUCUCAGAGGUCUGUAGACAUAUGUGUGGGUUGUGUAUAAGUUUAUUCAGCUGUGUCUAUACGAUGUGCUAUGGUAUUGAUCUGUAAUGGCAACCUUGUCGGCUUGCUUAUGGUAUUGAUAUGUUGUGGCAGCCUUGUCGGCUUGUGUAUGAUAUGACAUGUAGUGGCA